rnacentral:rRNA from 1 species
GUAGGGAAUAUUGGACAAUGGGCGAAAGCCUGAUCCAGCCAUGCCGCGUGAUAGAUGAAGGCCCUCUGGGUUGUAAAUAUCUUUUAUCUGGGAAGAAACUCCUCUAUUCUUAGAGGCCUGACGGUACCAGAGGAAUAAGCACCGGCUAACUCCGUGCCAGCAGCCGCGGUAAUACGGAGGGUGCAAGCGUUAUCCGGAUUCACUGGGUUUAAAGGGUGCGUAGGCGGGUUGAUAAGUCAGUGGUGAAAGCUCCGGGCUUAACUUGGAAACUGCCAUUGAUACUGUCAGUCUUGAAUGUCGUAGAGGUAAGCGGAAUGUUGCAUGUAGCGGUGAAAUGCUUAGAUAUGUUACAGAACACCAAUUGCGAAGGCAGCUUACUAUGCGAUAAUUGACGCUGAGGCACGAAAGCGUGGGGAGCAAACAGGAUUAGAAACCCCUGUAGUCC